UAUUAUUGAAUAUUAUGUGUGAUAAAGCAAAUUAUUAUAAAAAGAAAUGGAAAGGGAUGAAAACUGCCAAAUCACAUAAUAAUAUAUCAUAUCAAAACAAAGCAGAUUAUAAUCUCGACAUUGGUAGGAAUAUAGAUAUUCCAUAUUAUGGAUGGAGGUUGUUUUUUCCUGACAAAGAAUAUAAAACUAAUAGUGCUAUUACAAAGCAAAUUAAAGCUGUAGAGGCAUUUAUAGAAAGACAUGAAGUAUUAUCUUCAUUGUUUACUAUGGCAAAUUUGGAAGUAGGAAUGUCUUUUGACAUUGACAUCUGUGAACUAUAUGAGGAUAGUGAAUUUAUGAAGCAAUGGCCAAAUUUUAAGCAUGAAAUUCAUGAAAAUCCAAUGAACAUAUUAAAUUGUAUAAAACUUGGUAUUCAUCAGAAAAUUUUGAAAACAGUGCCAGAAGAAAAUUUACAGUAUGUUUUGAAUUCUAUUAGCAGUUUACCAACAAUCAAAUUAAGUAUAUUAAACUAUCAACCAAUUAUAUGUUUGCGAGACCUUAAGCUAAAUUAUUAUGAGCGAUUGGUGUCUACCAGAGGUUGUGUAAUAAGGGUUGGUAGAAUAAAACAUCUCAUACAAUGGAUGGUAUUUGGUUGUUCCAAAUGUCAUUUGCAAAAAUUAAUCAAACAGUCUCAAGAAAUAUAUACUUUACCAAAAAAAUGUGAUACUUGUGGUACAUCAAAGUUUUAUCCAGUGUUGGAUUCACCUUUCGUGAAAAGUAUUUUAUUCCAGAUCAUCAGGAUACAAGAACCAUUAAAUGAUGAGCAGAUAGAGAAUAAAGGUAAAGUGCCUAAAGUACUCGAUGUGGAACUUAUGGAUAAUUUAGUUAAUAUUUGUAUGCCUGGGGACGAUAUAACACUUACAGGCAUUAUUAAGGUACAAGGAGUCGAUGAUGCAACUAAAAUACAAGUUGGGACUCCGUUUUCUCUAUAUAUGAAAGCAAUAACAGUUAUCAAUAACAAACGUAAAUGUCAAAAUAAGAGUUCUAUGAAUAAUGAAAUUUCUUUAAAAAAUUAUUUGGCCAUACAGAAUAUAUAUAAAGAACCAAAUAUUUUUGCAUUAUUAGUACAUUCGUUAUGCCCUAGUAUAUAUGGCCAUGAAAUGAUAAAAGCUGGAUUGAUAUUGAGUUUAUUUGGGGGUAAUAUAAAGCGCGCGCAGUUACGAGAUGGCAUACAUAUUUUGUUAAUCGGAGAUCCUGGUCUUGGCAAAUCGCAGAUGUUACAAGCAUGUGCUCGAAUAUCUACAAAAGGCGUAUAUAUUUGUGGCAAUUCAAGUACAUCCUCUGGAUUAACGGUGACACUUACAAAAGAAACUGGAUCGAAUGAUUUUGCUUUAGAACCUGGUGCUUUGGUUUUAGCAGAUCAAGGUUGUUGUUGCAUCGACGAAUUUGAUAAAAUAUGUUCUCAACAUCAGGCAUUAUUAGAAUCAAUGGAACAACAAAGUGUCACCGUUGCAAAAUCAGGUAUAAUAUCUUCUUUUCCCGCACGGACAUCAAUUCUAGCAGCAGCUAAUCCUAUCGGAGGGCAAUAUGACAAAAGCAAAACAAUAACUGAAAAUUUAAAUAUUAAUCAGCCUAUCCUUUCGCGAUUUGAUUUAAUUUUUUUAUUAUUGGAUAAACCAGAUAAGCAUUUCGAUAAUUUGUUAUGCAAACAUAUUAUGACAGUUCAUACCAAUUCACAUACAAAUUUCAAUCAAGAAGCUAUAGACUCAUCUGUUAAUGAUUGUUCCUUAAGGAAAAAGUUAAUGUUACCAUUAUCUACUGAGAUCAUCCCACAGCCUAUUCUUCGAAGUUAUAUUUCCUAUGCACGACAAUAUGUGAAACCAAAAUUGUCAGCCAAAGCUGCAGCAGUAUUACAAAGUUAUUAUUUAGAACUUCGAUUAAAAAAUAAACAAUUUGGAAACAUACCUAUAUUUAAUAGACAAUUAGAAGCCAUGAUUCGUUUGACUGAGGCUAGAGCAAAACUGGAAUUACGUAUUGAAGCAACCGAAUCAGAUGCAUUAGAUGUAAUAGAUAUAUUGCGAUAUACAAUGAUAGAUACAUCAGAAGAUUGUAUAACAUCAAAUUUAAAUUCUGAUGGUAAAUUAACAAACAAAAAAGAAACCAUGUGAAUGGGACGAACCACUUUGUCCACCUAUGGUAUAUUGUCCUAUAGAAUUAUCAUCUUGUAGUCAGCCUUAUCAUAAGAUACAAAUGUGAGUGUAUUAAAAGAAAUGGUCUACAAGAUAGAUGUAUGAUGUGGGAUUGUAUGGGUAGACCAGAAUGUAUGACAAAACUGUAUCCAGUUUGCAAACCAG
rnacentral:misc_RNA from 1 species